rnacentral:rRNA from 1 species
UACGUAGGGGGCAAGCGUUGUCCGGAAUCACUGGGCGUAAAGGGCGCGUAGGCGGCGCAACAAGUCACUUGUGAAAUCUCCGGGCUUAACUCGGAGCGGUCAAGUGAUACUGUCGUGCUAGAGUGCAGAAGGGGCAACUGGAAUUCUCGGUGUAGCGGUGAAAUGCGUAGAUAUCGAGAGGAACACCUGCGGCGAAGGCGGGUUGCUGGGCUGACACUGACGCUGAGGCGCGAAAGCGUGGGGAGCAAACAGG